rnacentral:lncRNA from 1 species
CAACAAGAAGGUGUUAAAAUGGACCUGAUGUGACGAGGCCAUUGUGCAGAUAAAGCUCAAAAAUUGGGUUCUGAAAAUAGACAACAAUGACAGGCAAGGACAUCGGCAAAACGUCAAAAACUUGGUGUCACGUUGCAUAAACCAGCCGUGGUUCCACGGUGGGCUGAGGAUUCCCACAGGGCCCUCCACUCUGCACCCGAGGAUGAGAUCAAGAAUGGGUUUGGGUACCUCUAUGGGGAGGCCACAUUGAGGAGUCAUGUCUGCCGGAAAGGCAAUUUCCCAGCGACGACUCAUCUUUCUGUCUGGAAUGGCAUCAGACAGACUGGAAUGGCAUCUACAAACCUAAGCACUCUGCUUCUGUUUUGGAGUCCUCCCAAUCACGUCUCGUCACAUCGCUCGCACAAACCAGGAAGUGUACCACCCAGUCCACGUCUGCAAGUCUAGACGCUGAUGUGGAAGGUGUGGUCAGAGACCAGGACUGUGUGCAGGCUGUGUGAACGGAGGUUACAAAACUGCGAAUGCGGAGCAAUUAUUUUAAGAUAUGAAAUCUUUAUUUAUAAAUAUUUUCAUACUUUUAAACAUGGCAAAACAACUAUGGACAUCCCGUGUGUUCUUUUUACGAAGAAUCUGUUUAAAUUAUUUAUUCGGGCUGUACCAUUUAUAUUUGCAUUUGUCACUAUGGGAACAAAGGCCAAGCCCUGUGGUGGCUCUCCAGCGGAGGGUGUCUGUGUCGUUUCUAUAGCAACGUUUGUGUAAGCAACACAGCAGCCGAAAGACUGGAAAGGACUAGAGCGAAGAUAAUUCUGGUCCUAUAGUUGGGUACAUAGAUAGCCUAGGGUUUUCAGUCUGUUCUGGCGUCUGUACAUUCUGCUCACCACCUGUAAUUUAUUUUUCAGUAUGGGUGUGAAUGGUGUGCCUGAGAGGAUGGGGCCAAGUUAACAGAGACUGGGUCUAGUUCACAGCAAAGACAUGGAGACAGGGUCAGAGGGUAUAGUUCAUAGGAAGGGCAUGGAGACAGGGUCAGAGGGUAUAGUUCACAGGAAGGGCAUGGAGACAGGGUCAGAGGGUAUAGUUCACAGGAAGGGCAUGGAGAAUGGGUCAGAGGGUAUAGGUCACAGGAAGGGCAUGGAGACAGUGUCAGAGGGUAUAGUUCACAGCAAGGGCAUGGAGACAGGGUCAGAGGGUAUGGUCUUGCAGGCUCCAACAGGGGCUGUCAGUGAGGAGACCCGACUGGCUCUGGAUCUUGGUGUCUUGGAAGACUCUGAACUCACUGAGCAGCAGAAGUUACGCCGUGUGUUGGACUGGACUCUGGGCUUCCUUGGGACCAGCCAGGAUGGAAACGAUCUCAGCACACAAGCGAGAGCUGUGUGUGCCUUCCCGCGUUUCAGCUCCUCUCCAUAUGGGCCCGAGGUCGGCAGGAGCCAAGCUGUCUCUGUCCUUGGAACCUUUCACGGUGUGGUCAGAAGCGGAGGCGAAGAUGCUGUGGUGGACCGGGCAGAGCAGCCAGAUAGGACGCCAUGCCCCAGCACACCGCCCAGCCUCACCUCCACCCUCCCAAAACGAUGUGUUGUGUUUUCGGUGCCGGAGUUUAGACAGAGCCCUGGGCAUAGAGAGAUGGUCCUGUCCUCAGGGGAUACCAAUGGCGGGCAUGAACAACAUAAAAUCGAUGGCCUCGAUGUCCAUCUGACAGAACAGACUACACACACACCGGACGUUGUCUGUGAGAUCCUCAGACCCAGAGUCAGUAAAGGCAGUGCCCUUUUUUUCAGAGCCCCCCACCUCAUGUCAGAUUCAGGUGAAGGGGGUUGUGGCAAGAGGGAGGACAGAGUUGUGGGAAUGCAGGAACCCAAAGAGAAGAAGGUGGUGGUGGAGGAGAGACACCCGCCAACAGGCCUCGACAUCACUCACGAUGGAUCCUCCUGGGUGGAACCGGAGGGAGAAUGUUUAGAGACGCCCGCCACAAGCCAGGACUCAGAAGGCGUGAGUGUAUACAAGAAGUACCUGCUGUGUUUGUCCCAUUUAGACCGUCUCAGGAUGAAGCAGAACCAAACACCUGCUGACCCCACAACCCCACUUGCAGGCCAAAUUCCAAAACCCCGACUUGCCAGCCUUCCUGCCAGCCCUCCUGCCAGCCCUCCUGCAAGCCUUCCUGCCAGCCCUACUGCCAGUCCUCCUGCCAGCCCUCCAGCUGAACUAGCGCUUGCUAAGCAUCUGGUCCACCAGGACGUCCAUACCGAGGGGAGACGGGCCCCAUUCAAGAGCUCAGCAGUGGAGAAUGGAGGAGAGCUGCGGCCCAAGAGCAGCGGAGGUCAACCUGGUGUCAGGGAUCAGGCUCGCGUCAGAGGUCGUGGUCGUGCGUGGAGGUUUUGGGAAAGGUCAAGCCUCUCCUGGUCAACCUUCACUCACGGUGAAGUGCUCCCACGCUCUCAACUCCCCGGCCUCCGAGACUCGGCAAAAGACGUGGCAUCUAAACGGAUGUCUGAACGUUCCUGCUCUGGAGCCAGAUCACCACAUCUCCCCCUGGAGACUGCAGUGCAUUUCAAGAAAAACAACAGUCCUGUGACCAGAGCUCCAGCGCUAGCAGUAAGAUGAAUAUCCAUUCUGCUAAUUGCUGUUUCAUUUAUGACCACUAAAUAGUUAAACUGCUUAGUGCUAGUAAUGUACUUCAGUGUUCCCAGAGUUAGUUCUAGCAGUAGUAGUCAGUAUGUGACAAUAUUAUUUUAGGUAACGAGGUACCAUGAGGUCGAAAUAACACUAAGACUUGUGAAAUGUAUCAUCGUGCUGUGUUUGUCGAAGUGUUGUUUGCGAAUGGGAUGUUACUUAUGGGCAACUGCAUGAUGUCACAAGGCUAUUUUGAUUGAAAUCGACCAAUGGCAAUUCAUCUGGUUAAGGGGCGGGAUCUAGAGAAUCGUAUCAGUAAGGUUAGCCUAAGUAAAUCUCUUAAAAUAUAACUGUUUCCUAAUGUCCACGUGAUCUUACUAAAAUCCAAAAAGGUUACUAUUCAUGAGUUACUGUGAAUAUUAAUAAUAAUAAUAAUUAAAAAGAUUUAAAAUAACAUGAUGAUUUAAAAAAUAUAAUCUUAAAGCCUUAUCAGGGGCCUUUCGUAGAUUACUCUGCUGAAUGCCCGUUAGAUAAUUAGUCAGUGGUAUCCACUCCCUCCUUCAGCCCGCAGGGGGCAGUGUGCUGUGGCUGUCUCUACCUGAGGAGGUGUGGCUGUCCGUCCUGUCAUUUCUGACGCACAGAGAUCUGUCCACCGUGGCCCAGGUGUGCCCGCUGCUGCUUCGACUGGCCAAUGAUCACACCCUCUGUAAGUCUGAGCAACUGAAUCGAUGUGCGUGUGUGUCCUCAGCUGGAUGGUAUAUUCUCAUGAUGUAGGAGCUCCUACUGGUACCACUCCCUGGACAAACAGAUACCCAGAGCUACGGCAUACUCACAUACUCUCACGCCCUGCAGACACACACACACACAAAUACCGGUAUAGCAUAUACAUGAGCUGUGAUGACUAGAAAAAAAUGUAAUUCUAUUUCUCUUCAGGGCAAGUUGUUCGAGUAGAAAACAGCUUACUGCUGACUGACCAAUGGCUGAAAAGUGUGGGCGGGCAUAACCCUCAAAGCCUCACUAUCUACAGGUGCAGCGGACCGUCAAUCACCACUGCCGGUCUCAAAGACUUUUUCAAACUAAGUCACGCCUCACUGAAGGUAGAUCCAUCCUGUCAUGUACUCAGUGCAUCUACUACAGGACUGUACAGCAUCUUGGGCUCCAGAUUCAGAUCCGAGGGGGGAUAUCCAGAGAUCUGUGACUGUGCCUGGGGUGUACAUUGGUAUCAUAGUUCCUUCUGGGUCACACGCAAACCCUAAUACAUGCUCAGGGUAUUAAAACCCACCUCAGAUUCAACUAUUGUCACGUCCGCAUGGAUUACACAUGUUCAUUGGUUGUCAUUGUUACCGCGGUGGUGUUGUGGUCGUGAGUGAUGUGCUCAUUGGUUACAGGAGCUGAACGUAAUAAGCUGCAGCGGUCCCGGUUUCCGGGGUGACCUCAUGUUGACCCUGAGUGGCCAACACUGCAAUCACAUGACCUCUGUGGACGUCAGCUGGAGCGGAGCUACUGACCUAGGCAUCAGAGCGCUGACUGAAAACUGCAUUGGGUGGGCAAUAGUUUCCGAUAACGCGCGUGCGCACGCACAUGCACGCACGCACAUGCACGCACGCACACAUACUGUACAUUUUCGAAAAAGAUGAUUUCGUACUACAUCAGGGU